rnacentral:rRNA from 1 species
GACAGAGGGUGCAAACGUUGUUCGGAAUUACUGGGCGUAAAGCGUGUGUAGGCGGCCGCGUAAGUCGGAUGUGAAAGCCCUGGGCUCAACCCAGGAAGUGCACUCGAUACUGCGUGGCUCGAGUACUGGAGAGGUUGGUGGAAUUCUCGGUGUAGAGGUGAAAUUCGUAGAUAUCUGGAGGAACACCGGUGGCGAAGGCGGCAUCCUGGACCGAGAUUGACGCUGAGGCGCGAAAGCCAGGGGAGCAAACGGG